UACGUAGGGUGCGAGCGUUAAUCGGAAUUACUGGGCGUAAAGCGUGCGCAGGCGGUUUUGUAAGUCAGAUGUGAAAGCCCCGGGCUUAACCUGGGAACUGCGUUUGAAACUGCAAGGCUAGAGUUUGGCAGAGGGGGGUAGAAUUCCACGUGUAGCAGUGAAAUGCGUAGAUAUGUGGAGGAACACCGAUGGCGAAGGCAGCCCCCUGGGUCAAAACUGACGCUCAUGCACGAAAGCGUGGGGAGCAAACAGG
rnacentral:rRNA from 1 species